UGAGCAAUCUGCCCUUCUCAUCGGAAUAAGCGUUGGAAACGACGUCUAAUGCCGAAUACGACCUCUUUUCGCAUGAUCGGAGGUGGAAAGCUCCGGCGGAGAAGGAUGAGCUCGCGGCCUAUCAGCUAGUUGGUGUGGGUAAUGGCCCACCAAGGCGACGACGGGUAGCCGGCCUGAGAGGGUGACCCGGCCACACUGGGACUGAGACACGGCCCAGACCUCCGUACGGGAGCA
rnacentral:rRNA from 1 species